GAUGAACGCUGGCGGCGUGCCUAAUACAUGCAAGUCGAGCGAGCGGACGAGAGGCUUGCUUCUCUGAUGUUAGCGGCGGACGGGUGAGUAACACGUGGAUAACCUACCUAUAAGACUGGGAUAACUUCGGGAAACCGUAGCUAAUACCGGAUAAUAAUUUGAACCGCAUGGUUCAAAAGUGAAAGACGGUCUUGCUGUCACUUAUAGAUGGAUCCGCGCUGCAUUAGCUAGUUGGUAAGGUAACGGCUUACCAAGGCAACGAUGCAUAGCCGACCUGAGAGGGUGAUCGGCCACACUGGAACUGAGACACGGUCCAGACUCCUACGGGAGGCAGCAGUAGGGAAUCUUCCGCAAUGGGCGAAAGCCUGACGGAGCAACGCCGCGUGAGUGAUGAAGGUCUUCGGAUCGUAAAACUCUGUUAUUAGGGAAGAACAUAUGUGUAAGUAACUGUGCACAUCUUGACGGUACCUAAUCAGAAAGCCACGGCUAACUACGUG
rnacentral:rRNA from 1 species